UAUUCACCCCCUUGUCAUGGCCAACAUUGUGGACAUCAUCAUCAUCCACCUAGUGCUACACCCCCAACACCGCCUCUAUUCAGCCCUCCUCCUCCUCCUCCUCCGCCGCCGCCGCCUCCACCACCUCCUCCUGUUGCUUCAUAUUCACCCCCUUGUCAUGGCCAACAUUGUGGACAUCAUCAUCAUCCACCUAGUGCUACACCCCCAACACCGCCUCUAUUCAGCCCUCCUCCUCCUCCGCCGCCGCCGCCGCCACCUCCACCUUCUUCUCCUGUUGCUCCUUAUUCACCUCCUUGUUAUGGCCACCAUUGUGGACAUCAUCAUCAUCCACCUAGUGCUUCACCCCCAACACAGCCUCCAGGCAGCUCUUCUCCUCCGCCGCCGCCACCUUCACCUCUUUCAUCCGCAAGCCCACCACCACCUCCUCCUGUUGCUCCACAUUCACCUCCUUGUCAUGGCCACCAUUUUGGACAUCAUCACCAUCCACCUAGUGCUUCACCCCCAACACAGCCUCCAAGCAGCUCUUCUCCUCCGCCGCCGCCACCUUCACCUCUUUCACCCGCAAGCCCACCACCACCUCCUCCUGUUGCUCCAUAUUCACCUCCUUGUCAUGGCCACCAUUGUGGACAUCCUCAUCAUCCACCUCCUACAUCCCCAACACCAACUCCGACACCCGCAUCGCCGCCUUAUCCACCGAAAACACCAUCCAAUGGCCCGGUUGUUCCGCCACCUAAACACUCAAAACCACCAAGAAACUCACCAAGUCCUGGUGGCCCAAUUGUUCCACCGCCUAAACAUUCAAAACCACCAAAAGGCUCAACAUCUCCUGGUGGCCCAGUUGUUCCGCCGCCUAAACAUUCAAAACCACCAUAUCCCUCACCAACUCCCGGCGGCCCAAUUCCACCAAAAACUCCUGCACCAACAC
rnacentral:lncRNA from 1 species